rnacentral:rRNA from 1 species
CCUACGGGAGGCAGCAGUCGGGAAUAUUGCUCAAUGGAGGAAACUCUGACGCAGCGACGCCGCGUAUAGGAAGAAGGUUUUCGGAUUGUAAACUAUUUUCGGUAGGGAAGAUAAAAGACUGUACCUAAGGAGGAAGCGCCGACUAACUAUGUGCCAGCAGCCGCGGUAAUACAUAGGGGGCAAGCCUUAUCCGGAAUUAUUGGGUGUAAAGGGUGCGUAGACGGAAGAACAAGUUGGUCGUGAAAUCCCUGGGCUCAACUGAGGAACUGCAGCCAAAACUAGUCUCCUGGAGUGGGGGAGAGGAACGUGGAAUUCCUAGUGUAGCGGUGAAAUGCGUAGAUAUUAGGAGGAACCCCAGUGGCGAAGGCGACUUUCUGGCCGAUAACUGACGUUGAGGCACGAAAGUGUGGGGAGCAAACAGGAUUAGAUACCCCGGUAGUC